rnacentral:rRNA from 1 species
UCUAUUAGGGUGCAAGCCCGAGAGAGCCGCAGUGAAUAGGCCCAGGCGACUGUUUAGCAAAAACACAGGUCUCUGCAAAACCGUAAGGUGACGUAUAGGGGCUGACGCCUGCCCGGUGCUGGAAGGUUAAGAGGAGUGCUUAGCUUCGGCGAAGGUACGAAUUGAAGCCCCAGUAAACGGCGGCCGUAACUAUAACGGUCCUAAGGUAGCGAAAUUCCUUGUCGGGUAAGUUCCGACCCGCACGAAAGGCGCAACGAUCUGGGCACUGUCUCAACGAGAGACUCGGUGAAAUUAUAGUACCUGUGAAGAUGCAGGUUACCCGCGACAGGACGGAAAGACCCCGUGGAGCUUUACUGCAACCUGAUAUGGAAUGUUUGUACCGCUUGUACAGGAUAGGUAGGAGCCGAAGAGACGUGUGCGCUAGCAUACGAGGAGGCAAUGGUGGGAUACUACCCUGGCUGUAUGACCAUUCUAACCCGCCACGCUUAGCGCGUGGGGAGACAGUGUCAGGUGGGCAGUUUGACUGGGGCGGUCGCCUCCUAAAGAGUAACGGAGGCGCCCAAAGGUUCCCUC